rnacentral:rRNA from 1 species
GGGUUGUGAGGUUAAGCGACUAAGCGUACACGGUGGAUGCCCUGGCAGUCAGAGGCGAUGAAGGGCGUGCUAAUCUGCGAUAAGCGCCGGUAAGGUGAUAUGAACCGUUAUAACCGGCGAUACCCGAAUGGGGAAACCCAGUGUGAUUCGUCACACUAUCAUUAACUGAAUCCAUAGGUUAAUGAGGCGAACCGGGGGAACUGAAACAUCUAAGUACCCCGAGGAAAAGAAAUCAACCGAGAUUCCCCCAGUAGCGGCGAGCGAACGGGGAGGAGCCCAGAGCCUGAAUCAGCAUGUGUGUUAGUGGAAGCGUCUGGAAAGGCGCGCGAUACAGGGUGACAGCCCCGUACACAAAAGCGCAUGUGCUGUGAGCUCGAUGAGUAGGGCGGGACACGUGGUAUCCUGUCUGAAUAUGGGGGGACCAUCCUCCAAGGCUAAAUACUCCUGACUGACCGAUAGUGAACCAGUACCGUGAGGGAAAGGCGAAAAGAACCCCGGCGAGGGGAGUGAAAAAGAACCUGAAACCGUGUACGUACAAGCAGUGGGAGCACAGGUUUACCUGUGUGACUGCGUACCUUUUGUAUAAUGGGUCAGCGACUUAUAUUCUGUAGCAAGGUUAACCGAAUAGGGGAGCCGGAGGGAAAC